CCAGCAUCUCCUGUGAUACCUGAAGAAACAAAAAACUUCAGUAUUUAGCACACAUAUAGGUGUGAUGCAUUUUAAAGAUGCACCUUUAUGCACUUAAAGCACUUACUGAUAGCUGCAGAUACUGAGUUUUCUUCGUGGCUGUUAACUGGAUGUUGGUGGAGUCUGCCCUUCCCCUGGACUGUGACGCUGCCAGCUGGAAGAUCCUGUAGCGAGCGCCUUCCUUCAGCAAGGAGCACACAUCAGGCAGCGGGCGCCAGAUACUCAGUACUGCUCCUGACAACAGCACAGUAAGCUGCCUGUAAGCCUGCAAGGCUUUUAAUUGGUCAUCACUGAGAUAUCCCUGCAACCAAGAGAAAAUGAACUCAGUAUCUUUUUAUUUAAUCAAAAAAACAUGGUCGAGAUUUUCAGACAGCCUCUUUCUUGAAUGGUCGUCUGUUACAAGCAAUUUAUUUCCAGCUGAUACACUACUAGGACUUGAAAUGAGGUAUGAUAAAACAACAGGAGGCAUCAGUCUUACCUGGUACUCACCUGGUGCUCUCUGGUCUGUGCAGAGCAUUACCUUACACACUGUUCUUAAGUGACAAUUAGUGAGAAGCCUGCUUGAGAGUGCAUAACUAAGGUGACUAUUUAAUACAACAGGCAGGCUUGCCUGUUUCAUAUGAAGACAUAUUAGGAAAAAAUUCUGUAAGAAUAAAGGAAGAGUUGCAGUUCUCCUCAGGCUGCUGUCUCUGAGCUGACACAAUGAUUUACACUAAAAUGCAUCAAAACCAUCACUUUUCUGACCAAGCCUUCAAGACCCAGAUGCCUGUGCAUGCAGCACCAGAGACAUGGAUACCAUUUUAUCAAAUAAAGGCACAGAUUACAUGGCUUUAUGACAGUCAAGGAUCCUCACUUACAAAAGGCAAGGCGUGUAUUUAAUUUUUAACAACUGGCAGGGACUAAUCACCUGGACAUUUAUUAAUAAAGACAUAAACAUUUAAAAGUUGUGAUUUAACUGGAACAGGAAAUGAAGAGAACAAUUACAAUAUAAUUAUUUGAACACUUCAGUGAACAGCAUGGAAGAGUAAGUGUAUGAAACCCUAGACUUAUGAGAUGCAUUAAGUUUUCAUUUACCCAAGACAAAGCAAAGUAAUAAAAUUACAAGUAACAUUAACUUUUAAUUGUGCUAUAAACUGGAUUUUUAUGACAAGAGAAAAUUGCCAUCCAAGAUCAUAUUAAUCAAUUUCAACAAGCCUUCAUUACAUUUUUUUCAAAAUUUUUAAUGUUAAUUUAUUUAGCAAUAAGCAUGCUGUAGAAAAUAUCAAAAACCAGCAAAAACAAGGAGUAAUUUAAUGGUCGCUUUAGCAGGAGGUACUAAAUUUUAAAUUAUUCCACAAGCUUUUCAAAAUUAGCCCAGUAGGAUCUACAGUUACCUCCAUAUAACCAGGAUCAGAUGCAUUCUGAAUUGCUUCAUAAAGUUCUGCACCAUCUUGCAAAUUACGGAUUUGCUGUCUUGUGACUGUCCGUGAUCUUGGUGUUCUUCUACUGGUUCUCUCUGUUGAGAAAAAGCCAUUAUGUGGAGUACAACCAACACACUUUAAAGUGAAGGAAGAAAUAAUUAUAUAAGCAGCACAGUAGUACUUAGGCCUUGCCAGAAUAAAAAUACAAAACUGAUGUAUAUGUGUAUGUGUGUAUAUAUAUCUCAGGAAAAUACAAGCAGAAAAAAAAUCUUACUCAUUUAAAUACAACAUAGAUUAGAGGAUUAUAUGACCUUUGGGGAAGCCAGUACCAGUGUCUGCACUUAGGAGAGUGUAGGGAGAUUUGAUGGGCUGCCAAGAACCUUCAUAGAUACUUGACUACAUUUUCUUUAUGUCCAUCACUUCCUCUUCCUCUCAUAGCAGCAGAAAAGUGUCAAAGACAUCAAGAUCUGGGACAGCAGCUGACCGCAGAGGCCUGUACAUGAAGCCUCCUCAGGACAUCAGCUAAAAGCCAAGUUAACUUCAUUACAUUAAACUACUAACAUCUCCUUAGGUAAGUCACUUUGCUGCCAGCAUUUUGAUGAAUUCCUUCAGCACAGCAGACUCCCAUGUGGACAACUUUAUCAAACAUAAAACAACACACAAAGUGACUGACAUGCAGAAGGUCACAGCAGUGAAGGUAAGAAUUACAAGGCCAUCUCUGAUUUCAACUAAGAAUUCCAUGCUCGAACUACUGCUAGAAAUCACUGGCAGAGGUGGACAGUGUCACCCAUUACAGAAUUAUAAUAUAGCUGAAGUGGAAUGGACCUCUGGAGGUCAUCUGGUCCAACCCUCCUGCUUAAGCAGGGUUACCCUAGAGAAGGCUGACCAAGACCACAUCCAGUGUGCUUUUGAUUAUCUCCAAGGAUGGAGAUUUCACAGCCUCUCUAGGCAACACUGUCAGUCAACCACCAUAGUGAAGAAGUGUUUACCAAUGUCCAGAGGGAACUUCCUGUGUUCCAGUUUGCGCCCAUUUGGCUCUAGACUUGUCACUGGACACCACUGACAAGCCUGGCUCCAUCUUCUCUGCACUGUCCCUUCAGGUGUUUAUGUACACUGAUCAGAUGCCCCUGAGCCUUCUCUUCUCCAAGCUCAACAGUGCCAACUCUCUCAGCCUUUCCUAUGUUGGAUGCUCCAAUUCCUUAAACACACUAAUGUCCCUUUGUUGUAAUCUCUCCAGUGUGUCCAUGUCUCUCUUGUACUGAGGAGCCCAGAACUGGACACAGCAUUCUAUGUGUGGCCUAAACAGAAGGGAAGGAUCACCUCCUUAGACCUUCUGGCAACAACCGUCAGCUUGUUCACCAGGACCCCCAGGGCCUUUUCUGCCAAGCUAUUUUCCAGAUGGGUGGCCCCCAGCAUGUACUGGUGCAUGGGACUGUUCCUCCCCAGGUGCAAGAUUUGCGAUUUGCUUUGUUGAACUUCAUGAGGUUCUUGUCAGCCCAUUUCUCCAGCUGCCAAGAUCCCUCUGGAUGGCAGCAUGAUCCUCUUGUCCUAAUUUUUAUCAUCAAACCUGCUGAAAGUACACUGCCGCAUUCUCCAGAUCAUUAACGAAGAUGUUAAAACAGGACUAGACCCAGUACUCAUCCCUGGCAUACACCAGUAGCCACUGGCCUCCAAACAGACUUUGUGCCACUCAUCACCACCCCCUGGGCCCUGCUGUUCAGCCAGUUUUCAAUCCUCCUGCCUGCCUGCUCAUCCAGCCCAUCAGCUUCUCUCUGCAGAUCUUAAGGGACACAGUGUCAAAAGCCUUUCUGAAGUCCAGGUAGACAACAGCUCUGCUCUUGCCUCAUCUACCCAAGCCAGUGACUUCAUCACAGAAGGUUGUCAGGUUGGUCAAACAUGACUUCCCCUGGGUGAAUCCUUGCCGAAUACUCCAAAUCACAUUUCUGUCCUUCAUGUGACUAUUAACAGUUUCCAGGAUUAUUUGUUCCAUCACCUUCUCAGGGAUCAGGGUAAGGCUGACUGGCUUGUAGUUUUCCAGGUGCUCCUUCCUGUCAUUUCUGAAUAUAGGAGACAUAUUUGCUUUCUUCCAGUCUCCAGGCACCCCUACCAAUCACCUAAUGAUAAUUCAAAGAGGAUCAAAAGCAGCCUCACAGACAUCAGUCAGCUCCUUCAGCACUUUUGAUUUCAUCCCAUCAUCAGCCAUGGACUUACAUAUGUCCAGUUUGCUUGGGUGUUCUCUAACUUGAUCCUCUUCCACCAAGCUAUGUCUUCCUUGCUUCAGAAUUUCCCCUGGUCUCCAGGGCCUGGGAUUGCCAAUCAAGGGUGAGGUGAAACAGUCAUUCAGUAACUCAGCCUUCUUCAUGGUCUGUGUCACCAGAGUCUCUGUCCCACUAAGCAGCUCCACUGACCUCAGUAUCUGCAGUGUCAUGCAAUUAUUCAUGAGGAAAGAUGCUCAGUGCUCAGUCUUGGUGUUCAGGUCUACUGAGACACAUCCCCGCAGUGCCCACCUCUUGGUGAAAUCCUACAGUGUCAUGCCCUUGAGGAGAAGGAUUAAGAAUUCUACAAUUCUGGAACACUUCCCUGAGCAUCAUCUUAAGGAUAAUUUUUUAGUGGCCUGGCUACCAAUAUGUUCAAGAAGCAUUUCCUAGGUAGCUGCAAAGCCACACAAAUAACCAUGUAACCGUUUUGUACUGAAUGGUCUUGCUACACAGUGUACCAAGCAAAAACCUGAAACAAUACAAAACAAAAACAACAACAAAGAAAAUAACCCCAAAUCCUGUCUCUGCUUCUUUAUCACCAGAGAAGAUUUUUGAAUAUUUCUUUACACUUUUCUGUAAACAUCAAAAAUGUUUUUGUGUUCUUAAUACAAGUUUUGAAAGAAUGAAAGCUUUACCUUCAUGCUUUUCAUAUUCUGCUUGGAUUUUUGCAAACAGAGUUUCCAGUUUCUUUUGCUGAUCCUCUGCGUGCUUGGCAGCUUCCCUUUCUUCAGCUCGGCUGUUACGGAAAACAUAAGAACCAGCUGACGUCUUUUCCAUCCACUGAAAUAAAAACAUUAAAAUUAAACCCAGACUUUUUAAAAAAUAUUUUUAACAUUAUCUAGCUUCCCUUAAAUACUCACAGUUAAGCAAAAACACUUUAAAAAUUAACAGGCAGCAGAUCUUAAGUUCUUUCAGUAUAAAAGUUAAAAGGCAAAACCCCACAGCAUUGGUUGGUAAAUUUUCACUUUAGAAACACACAGACAGAAUGGAACAGUAUCCAGACGCAGAAGAUUGAAGAGCUGAAGAAAACAGAGCUUCAAGUAGUGGGUAUCAGUGUUGUAGUUUAGAAGAUGAAUGGAUCCCACAGAUAGAUACAUUAAAAUACAAGCCAUCAAACUCAAUGCUUAAGAAUACACUCGACUGCAUUCUACCCAACUUGUAUUUCCACAUCAGCUGUGCUGUCUGUUUUCACACCCAAGAUUAGAUGCUGUAAAAGAACUAUUAUGUAGUUCUGCAGAUGUUCUUAAAUAUUUUCUGACUGAAAUGGUUCUGCAGGACUAGAGCCUUGUCAAAAACCCUACCAGAACUGGCUUGCCUGAUUUGAAGAGAUCAGUGACUCAAACAAGGAGAUCCACUGCUGCUGAAAGUGGUCCCUUCCCUUCCCCUUUUCUGCACAAUUCUGUCUUCUCCCUUGCACUGGCUCCAGCACGCAUCUGACCUCAGCAGGUCAUAUCAGUUUGGUAAUUCAACAGACAGCAGUUCAUUGUGUGUUUUUAAAAUUAUUAUUAGCUACUUUUUCCUGGUUUAAUGGAUUAAAUUAGCUAAGUAACAGGACCAGGUGAGCUCCAGGUUUUGAACAGAGAAGCAGCAGGAGAGUACAGUGAAAGCAGGAUAAGAAAAGGUUGCAGGACUAAUCCUUAUGAGGCAGUGAGUUGUUGAAAUAGGCUCUGUGUACCUUAAUAAUUGCACACCAUGUAUUUCCUGCAUUACUUACAGUAUGACACCUUUAAUUAAGGGUACUGUGAUUCCUACACUCCUUGACUCUUGAGGUAAAAGGAGACAGACAGCCCAAAUCUUCCUAUAAUUUUGGUAUGUUUGAGCGAGAGUCUCAGUGUUUAAAAAAGAAAAAAGUACAGCAAUCUCUUGACAUAGCCAGAUAUAAAGCACCACUUUCCUCCCCAGCCUGGAAACCAUUUACUGUGAUGCAGUUACAGAUUACAGUUCCCUUUCUGAGACCUAAAUAAAUGGUUGUUCUACCAGGCAGCUCACGUAAUAAGUGCUGCAAUUUCCUCUAUUAAAGUAAUGAUCUAAAUAGCAAAGUAAUGAUCCAAACCAAAUGUUGCUAGUACCUUUGCAGAACUCAUUCUACAUCCACCAAUAACUAUACAAUACCUUAGAAAGAAGGCAAUGAAAAAAGAAUCCUAGAUGUACAUGCCACAUAUAACAUAUUCUGAGAAAAGUUAAUAAAAUAUGGAAGUUAUGUCCUGGUUAAACUGCUAACAUUAAAAUGAUUGAUUACUAACAAAAAUAUUGUUUCUUUUUGUGUCUGGUAUAGUUAUAAAACCAAGUAGUUGCAGUGAAGUCUGACCGUAUUUAAAAUGUCUCGAUAUCAAGUGGUAUUUAAAAGAUUUUAACCCUGUUUUAUACCAUAAUCACACACUGUAUUUUCAGCCAUAUUUUUAAAUAAUAGAACUUAUACAAUACGGUCAGCUACACAUAAGAAAAAUUAAUCCUACUAAUGCUAGAAAUAUGUAACUUCUAUGUUAAUAUGUUAAUAAUAAAACAAACUGGGUUUCACUUCUA